AGGAUCAUUCACUUGAUAAAAAGGCUUCUGAAGCCUUUUUCUCUCUUUCUUAACCAAGUGGGGUUCUUGAAUUACCACUGUGAUGCUGAGAUAUGGGUCUUGAAGCCCUUUGUGAUUGCUUUCAGGCAUCUGAUCUUAUCCAGCAAAAGGUUCAUUGUAAAACCCGACUGUGAGUUUGGGAGUAUUGGACCAUAUUUAUAAUAUCACUCAGUUGUUGGUCAAGUUGAAAAGCAAUCCACUCUUGGAGGGGAGAGAAGGAUAUGGUUGAGGGUUUGUAGCCCAAGGUUGUAUUCUAUCUUGUCUCUCUCUUGAGUCUAGAGAACUCGAGAUAAUUGUCCAUAUUGUGGAAUUAUCAUAACAUGAGCUCAUUUACAACUUUCAGCAAUGGAUCUCUUGGUUCUCGCAUCGAUGAAGAACGCAGUGAAAUGCGAUAACUGGUGUGAAUUGCAUCCAAGUAACUCUAAUUUACGAAUAACACCAAGUGAAUCAUCGAGUCUUUGAACGCAAUUGCGCCCUCUCGGUCGCUUCCAAUUGGGGGUUGACUCAUAGGGGGUACGUCUGUUCGAGGGUCAUUUGAACCUCUCAAAGGGUUUUUGGCUUUAAAAACCCUUUGGAUUUGGGUCUUGCCGUGAAAUUCUUAUCUUGGCUCACCUUGAAAGCAUUAGCAAAGCUUUUCAGCACUUGAAAGUCUUUUUUGAAUGAGGGCGUUGUUAAUUUGGUCAGGCCUCCUUGAGAGGAUUCUCAUACGUCUCAGUCAUGAAAAGUCUCAGUGAUUUUGAAACUUGCUUCCAAUGAUCCUUAUAAGGAUAAGGCCCCUCCUGGGCCCUUUUUCAAUGUAUCAAUGACCUCGAAUCAGAUGAGAAUACCC
rnacentral:rRNA from 1 species